rnacentral:rRNA from 1 species
GAUGAACGCUAGCGGCAGGCCUAACACAUGCAAGUCGAGGGGUAGAAGGAGCUUGCUCCUUUGAGACCGGCGCACGGGUGCGUAACGCGUAUGCAAUCUACCUUGUACAGGGGAAUAGCCCAGAGAAAUUUGGAUUAAUGCCCCAUAGUAUAUAACCUUCGCAUGUUGGUUAUAUUAAAGUUCCAACGGUACAAGAUGAGCAUGCGUCCCAUUAGUUAGUUGGUAAGGUAACGGCUUACCAAGACGAUGAUGGGUAGGGGUCCUGAGAGGGAGAUCCCCCACACUGGUACUGGGACACGGACCAGACUCCUACGGGAGGCAGCAGUGAGGAAGAUUGGUCAAUGGUCGCAAGACUGAACCAGCCAUGCCGCGUGCAGGAAGACGGUCCUAUGGAUUGUAAACUGCUUUUAUACAGGAAGAAACCCUCCCACGUGUGGGAGCUUGACGGUACUGUAGGAAUAAGGAUCGGCUAACUCCGUG